UGGGGAAUUUUGCACAAUGGGGGAAACCCUGAUGCAGCGACGCCGCGUGAUUUAGAAGGCCUUCGGGUUGUAAAAAUCUUUUUUACGGGAUGAAAAUGACAGUACCGUAAGAAUAAGGUCCGGCUAAAUACGUGCCAGCAGCCGCGGUAAUACGUAUGGACCGAGCGUUGUCCGGAAUCAUUGGGCGUAAAGGGUACGUAGGCGGCCUAGUAAGUUAGAAGUGAAAUAAUAUAGCUCAACUAUAUAAAGCUUUUAAAACUGCUAGGCUGGAGAGAUGGAAGUGAAAGUGGAAUUCCUAGUGUAGCGGUGAAAUGCGCAGAUAUUAGGAAGAAUACCGGUGGCGAAGGCGACUUUCUGGUCAUCAUCUGACGCUGAGGUACGAAAGCGUGGGUAGCAAACAGG
rnacentral:rRNA from 1 species